UUUCUCCACCAUGGAAUUUAUGGAUCUGUUGACAUCCCAACGACCGCCAGCCGCUUGUUUGUUUGGGCUGGAUAAGCUAGUGUUGAGCAAGCUCUGGACCUCGAUGUGGCUGGUUUUUUGAUUAAACAUGGAGAUCAAAUUCGUGCCAAUGUGGGGGGAAUUAUUUCUGCUGAUUAUUGCUGAAAUGCUGUUUUACAAGUUAUUUCAUUGGUGGCCGCCAGUAGCGCAAAAUGUUGAGAAUACCUUGCAAAUCAUUUCGCGUACGAAUCAAACGUUUCAAUUUUACCGGCCCGUUCCUGGUACAGCGCAGUCCAAUGUUCGCUUUCUUGGUCGGCUGGGUCGGUAUUCACUACACAUGCUCCUGGAAAAGGUGCCAAUGUCGCUGGAACUUGAUCGCUGGCGUAGACCCCACGAAAUACCGCCGUGGUCAGAGGAUUUCCAUGGAGUGCUGAGGGUCAGUGGUCCACGGCCGGUAUGUCCUGGAGUCAGGUCGAAUCCGAAAAUGGUUUAUCCGUCGUUAUAUUGGGUCCGAUUGAAAGGCAAGCCGCCUUGCAGGCUGGGUCGGUGUCCCAGAGUGUCUAGUAGCCCGUCGUAGCACUCCGGAGACAAACUGCGGUCAAAAUCGGCAGUGUAUGGUUUUGUCGGAUAGCUUUGGCCGUCAACUUCGACGCUGAAUUGUGUAUCGUUGAAGUGUUGGAAGUUAAAAGGAUUUUUUUUUGCGAUCCGUGAAAGUCUUCGCUGUCAACAAAGCCAAUAAAGACCACCUUUGGAAUCUGACCAAUUUGCAAAUUGCUGACAACAGUGCUCUGGGAGUUCUCCGGCUACGGCAGUCAAAAAAUCCGGUGAUAGAAUGUAGCGGCGGAUAGACAAGAGAGCGUUCCGGAUAAAUGGUUUGAAUGUCUUGGUGGUGUCCGUAUCCCAUACGCGUAGGGCAAAUUCCGGUCGGCUAACCACUAGGCGAAUGUUGACGGGAACACCAGUACACAGCGGUUUGCUCUGAUCAAAAGGGUCCAAAAACAGUUUGCCGGAAAGCUGCACGUACUGGCCGGCAUUAAAUAGUGCUGCUCGAUUUUUUUAACCGUUGUUGGCUGUUUCACUGUUAAAAGACCCCGGGCUGUCGUAAUAGAAUGCGGCGGAUGUCAGUUGGCUUUGUUGGGCGUCCAGUGUGUGAGACAGCAGUGAUUCCAAGUAGGCUCGGUAGGGAUAAAAUGUAGCGGCAUCCGAGAUCAGUCGGUUGGCUACGGUCACAUGGCAAGAGGAGAACAGGGAGUGUAAAAAAUUGUUGACUGGUGCCACACUAUCCGCUGUCGUGAUCAGUUCCCAUUCGCCGGUGGUUUCGCGGACUUUAAUACCCACUUCUAAUUCCAGAAUCAUAUCCGCUAAACUCAGCAGUCCGGAGGUGCUUGGUGGGAUGAAAAAGUUGAUAUCGCCGGCGGAACCAUUGUCUGUCAAAACCGUUGUGGGAUUAAGCUUUUCGUGUUCCGUGCGCCAGCGGUCCGUUAAGGUGGCUGGUAGUGCAAAGAGCUGGUUCUCCAGUUGCAUGGCCGGCUCAGAAUUUUCCAUCAUCAGCAUGGCCAUUUUUUAAAAGAAAUCGGGAAUAUUGGUUGGCGGUAUACGUUUCACUCGAACAACUUUGUGUUGAACUCGUCGCUUCUUUCGAACACCUUCUCCUUCCUGGGUAGCGAAACGUUUUUCUAUGGCUGUUCCCGCAUGUGAGGCUACCUCUUUAAUAGCCCCGGUCGCCGCUUCUUGCAGAUUUGGUGUAGCCGCUUCAAGAGCAGCUUUGGCAUGAGGUGCGGCUUUCCGUAAUAUUGGUUGAACAAAUCCUGAUAUUUUGGCAAACAGAUUUUUCAAAAUCUGCGGGAAACCCGAUCCGUUUUGAAGAGUGCCACGGUAGCGAAUGAGUGCGCUGCCACCCGUCUGACUCAAAAGGACGUUCUCGUAUCGCCAGGGAUCCGGCACGUACUCCACCAGAGGCAUUUUAGUAAAGUCGUUGCGGUCGAAAAUGUAGCUUUACCAGAGAUUUUCCAGUUUGGAACUUGGCGUCGUCUCCCAGGUCGUUGGCAAUCGUCAACUUUAUGGUUUCGAAAUGUUGUCGUAAUACUGGAACAUAGUGAGGAAUGUCGAAUCUCGCCUCGACAAUUUGAUUCACUUCUCCUCUAAUAGGCACGGAACGUAAAAACUGCGCUGCGGUAUCUCCAAUCAAGCUGUAGUCGGCCACAUCACUGUAGACAAACAGGCUUUGAUUGCCCAGAAGAGUGUUGACCGGUCGCUCUGAAAUGAAAGUGGUCAGCUUUGGAUUUGGAGGCUUGGCUAGAAACGACAGGUACUGGAUACCGACGUCUUUUCUCCAUAGGAAAUGGACCAAUAAAUGCAUUGCUGUUACUCUCCAACGGUACAUCCGGUUUUAGAACGCUAUGUUCAAAUCCCAGCAUCUUUUGUAUAUCUAUCGACGAAGGAAGAAAAACGACGGAAACCCGAUCGUUGCCAAUAUUCAAUCGGACCCGAUGACUGGUGGGGGUCAGCAAUUGUACAGUAAAGGCUCUGUCGGCAGUCAGCGCGCUCUUGUCAGCGCGCACGGUAUCGUCUACCAUGUACGAUUCAACUCUUGGUACCAGUGAAUUAAUGGUCUUCAGUAAUAAUUCCGCAUUUUUGUAAUUUCCAGGAGAUAUAGUAAUCUCGUCCGUGUGAACCACUUGGUCAGCAGACUCCAGGAACUUUGCUUCGUCUUUCUUUAACUUGAAUUCCCGUACAAUGUGGACCUCAAUCUUCUGCUCAACGAGAAGAGUAAAAAAGGAGUUGAGGUACUGUAGUUCAACCAGGGCCAUUUCCCAUUUUCCUUUCAGGAUAAAGGGAUGCUUCAGUUUGGUCGUCCAGUUGGACGAAGUGUUGCUGGGGUCCGUAGCGAUAUCGCUCGGCAGCGUCACGUAGAACGGUGCUCCUUCAUACAUGAUGCCUUGAUCCAGGAACCGUGUUCAGGUCCGUAACCUAACCAACGUACUAGUAUCUUUGGACCACGGCGUGUAAUGAUGCGGUCAAUGGUAUGUUCCUUCUGCUCCGGGUGCGAUACUUUGGAGAGUUCGUGUUCGUAGAAUAUCCCUUGGAUGGGUUGGUUUUGGUAGUCCAGUAGUCGGUAAACCGGUACGGUAUGCGAAAUGACUUUACUGAUGUAAAAAACCUCCUCCUUAAACCGAUACGAUACCUUUUCCACCUUGGUUUUGUGCACGGCAAUGCGAACCGCAUCGCCGACCUUGAACCGAGGUCGCCGCGCCUCUUUAGUAGGAUGCAACUUGUUGAAUACCGCUAGCGAAUUGUCUUGUGUGACGUCAACCGGUCGCAGCCCAUGGGUACGAUGUUUGGAAUGGUUAUACGAGUACACCAAGUCUUGCAGUUUGUCAAUGUAUCGCGUCGACACUCGCGCUCGAAACAAACGAAACAUCCGUGUUUUGAUGGUGCGGAUGACGCGUU